rnacentral:rRNA from 1 species
ACACCUGUUCCCAUGCCGAACACAGAAGUUAAGCUCCUUAGCGCCGAUGGUAGUUGGAUUUACAUCCCGCUAGAGUAGGACGUUGCCAGGC